rnacentral:rRNA from 1 species
UACGUAGGGUGCAAGCGUUGUCCGGAAUUAUUGGGCGUAAAGAGCUCGUAGGCGGUUUGUUGCGUCGGCUGUGAAAACCCGGGGCUCAACCCCGGGCCUGCAGCCGAUACGGGCAGACUAGAGUUCGGCAGGGGAGACUGGAAUUCCUGGUGUAGCGGUGAAAUGCGCAGAUACCAGGAGGAACACCGGUGGCGAAGGCGGGUCUCUGGGCCGAUACUGACGCUGAGGAGCGAAAGCGUGGGGAGCAAACAGG